UGAUCAUGGCGCUCCCGUGAGACGUAGAGGACGCACUACAUGUCAUGGCGCAGAGUUUCACAUCGAGGCUAAUAAAAAUGUUGUGCCGUAUAAUAUUCCAGAGUCUGAAUUAUUGGGGUCCUAUAUAUGUUUUAUUGCUAGACACCCAAUACUUGUACCAAUUUCUUUCUCAGACGGACGCAACAAAGGAGUGGAGCAAUUCAAGAAAAGAUUUCAAUGUUUGAGAUUCCUGAACACAUUCAACAUUUGGUUCUUCAAUUUUUGGGUUCAAAGUUUGAGAUUCUUGGACACAUUCGAUAUUUGGUUCUUCAAUUGUUCGGUUUGAAAUGAUAAAAUCACAAGACUAAUUUGAAAGCAAGCUGGUGAGAUAGUUGAUGCAUUCAGGAAAUUAUGAAGACAGUCCCUUGGAGAGAGCGCAAAGAAUAGUAAAAAAGCUAAAAAGCAAACAUGUCCUCAUACCAUGGGCCAAGUUAGUUUUGUUAGGAGAUGGAAAGAGACGAUAUGAGUUAACUAUCUAAAUUUUCAAUAUUACUGGACGUUAAUUUUCUUAUAUAUAUUAUUUGUUUAGGCCAUUCAUGAUAGAUUAUAAUUAUGGAGAGUAAGUAGAAUAUGUAAAGAUGACUCAUGGACUUCUGAGGACGCUACGCUGCAAUUAGUAAAGGCACAAUCUAGUGUUCCUCUUGAAGAAGAAGGUUGAAAGCCAGAGGAUGGUACAUCGAGGCAAAUGAGAAGGUGUUCAUGUUAGCGUCCUGAACACCCGAUAAGAGUACGGACGCAGAGGUUUGGUGUGGCCCCAACAUGAUACUUAUAGCACCAUCAUCGUAGGAGAGAGAGCUGCAGAGGAGGUAGCUUUGCCCAAAUUACCCAACUGCAGGAUUAGAUACAAUGUUUGAGAUCUGAGGUAUGAGCUGCGGCCUUACUAUAUGAGGAGUUGAGAGAAUUUAUGCAGCAAGUUCAUUCGCAUAUUUCAACAAUUGGGGAUUCUACUAUAGUGCUUGAAAUUUGCAGAUUUAAUUUUUAAAUCAUGUUUAUAAAUUAAAAUAUUAUUAUCUAAUAAAUAUUGACUUGAUUGUAGGGUGUUAAUGAUUGAUCAUCUGAUGAUCAACAUUGAAGAAGUUAGAGAAAAAAGAUUUGAUAUUUUUUUUUUCUGAUUAUUUGGGAUUGCAUGUUAUUGUCAUCAUUAUGACAAUCUUUAUGUGUAUGA